rnacentral:rRNA from 1 species
GCGAUCUCGUUGCCAGCAUACGUGGUAGUACGGGGGUUGGGAACGUUAAGCGGAAACAGUGGGCGUAAAGCGCGCGGUGGCGGUCGGUGAAGUGUGAUGGGAAAUCCCCGGGCUUAACCUGGGAAUUACAUUCCAAACUGGACGACGAGAGUACGAUAGAGGGAGGUAGAAUUGCCUGGGUAGCGGUGAAAUGCGUAGAUAUAGGAAGGAAUACCAGUGGCGAAGGCGGCCUCCUGGAUCGGUACUGACGCUGAGGCGCGAAAGCGUGGGGAGCAAACAGGAUUAGAUACCCCGGUAGUC